GGGCCUUUAGCUCAGUUGGUCAGAGCGGCGAACUCAUAAUUCGCGGGUCGCUGGUUCAAGCCCAGCAAGGCCCACCA
rnacentral:tRNA from 1 species